rnacentral:tRNA from 1 species
UCCUCCCGCCGAAACUCUAAAAGGCGGGAGGAAGCCCCGGCAGGCGUUAACCUACGUCUCAGGGUUUGCAAUCCUGCAUGAAACUACACUACAAGGCU